rnacentral:rRNA from 1 species
AUGCUGGUGAUGGCACCCCUGCCAUGUUCACCGGACGCGGGGGCGAACCCACUGGUGGCGGACACAGAGGCGAACGUGAACGCGGCGGACGCGGAGCUAAACUCAGCAGCUGGCCAAGAUUCGGCGGACGACGACAUGGAUGUCCACGCACACGCGCACGCGGCAGAUGCGGAGGUAACCUCCGCAGCUUGCCAAGCUACGUCCGACGUCGACAUGGCCACGCAUGCGCACGCGGCGGACGCGGAGCUAAACGCAGCAGCUGGCCAAGAUCCGGCGGACGACGACAUGGACGUGCACGCGCACACGGACGCGGAGGUAAACUCAGCAGCUUGCGAAGCUACAGCCGACGACGACAUGGCCGCGUACGCGCGCGCGGCGGACGCAGAGGUAAAUGUAGCAGCUGGCUCUUCCAAGACAUUUGUGGCGAGAGCUUGA